GGCCUGAUAGUGUAGUGGUAACACACCUGAGAUAUAUUCCUCUUUCUCUCUAAAUAUUCAUCAGGAGUCCCCUGUUCGAUUCGGGGCGCGGCCG